UGAUGGCGGGGCUGGUGAAGGACCGCGAGGCCUUCCAGAGGCUCAGCUUCCUGUACCAGGCUGCCCAUUGUGUCCUUGCCCAGGACCCCGAGAACCAGGCGCUGGCAAGAUUUUACUGCCACAUGGAGAGGACCAUUGCGAAGCGGCUCGUCUUGCGGCAGCUGAAAGGGGACAGCGCUGGACAGUACAGACCUGCCUCACAUGCCAGCGCAGCCAACGCUUCCUCAAUGAUCCUGGGCAUUUACUCUGGGGAGACAGGCCUGAGGCCCAGCUGGGGAACCAGGCAGGUGAGAGAUUCUAAACCACUACAGCCCUUGCAAAACACAGCCCACUCCAUUCCAGCCCACCUUCCUGAGAAAAUGCCGACUCAAGGUUCCAGUCACCAGUGAUGAAUUCACCCCAGCUCCCAAAUAUAG